UACAGAGGUCUCGAGCGUUGUUCGGAUUCAUUGGGCGUAAAGGGUGCGUAGGUGGCGCUGUAAGUCAGGUGUGAAAUUUCGGAGCUUAACUCCGAAACUGCAUUUGAUACUGCGGUGCUUGAGGACUGGAGAGGGAGACUGGAAUUUACGGUGUAGCAGUGAAAUGCGUAGAGAUCGUAAGGAAGACCAGUGGCGAAGGCGGGUCUCUGGACAGUUCCUGACACUGAGGCACGGAAGGCCAGGGGAGCAAACGGG
rnacentral:rRNA from 1 species